GAUGAACGCUGGCGGCGUGCCUAAUACAUGCAAGUCGAGCGAACAGACGAGGAGCUUGCUCCUCUGACGUUAGCGGCGGACGGGUGAGUAACACGUGGAUAACCUACCUAUAAGACUGGGAUAACUUCGGGAAACCGGAGCUAAUACCGGAUAAUAUAUUGAACCGCAUGGUUCAAUAGUGAAAGACGGUUUUGCUGUCACUUAUAGAUGGAUCCGCGCCGCAUUAGCUAGUUGGUAGGGUAACGGCUUACCAAGGCAACGAUGCGUAGCCGACCUGAGAGGGUGAUCGGCCACACUGGAACUGAGACACGGUCCAGACUACUACGGGAGGCAGCAGUAGGGAAUCUUCCGCAAUGGGCGAAAGCCUGACGGAGCAACGCCGCGUGAGCGAUGAAGGUCUUCGGAUCGUAAAACUCUGUUAUUAGGGAAGAACAAAUGUGUAAGUAACUAUGCACGUCUUGACGGUACCUAAUCAGAAAGCCACGGCUAACUACGUG
rnacentral:rRNA from 1 species